rnacentral:rRNA from 1 species
GACGAACGCUGGCGGCGUGCCUAAUACAUGCAAGUCGAACGCAGUGGGGACGGGUGCGUAACACGUGGGUAACCUCCCAUCAGAGGGGAUAACCCUUGGAAACAGGUGCUAAACCGAUACUGAUGGAUGGACCCGCGGGGCAUUAGCUAGUUGGUGAGGUAACGGCUCACCAAGGCCACGAUGCCUAGCGGGCCUGAGAGGGUGAUCUGCCACACUGGGACUGAGACACGGGCCAGACUCCUACGGGAGGCAGCAGUAGGGAAUCUUCGGCAAUGGACGAAAGUCUGACCGAGCAACGCCGCGUGUGUGAAGAAGGUUUUCGGAUCGUAAAACUCUGUUAUUAGAGAAGCGUUAUCUAACCAGGAAGCCACGGCUAACUCCGUGCCAGCAGCCGCGGUAAUUC